rnacentral:rRNA from 1 species
AUUGAACGCUGGCGGCAUGCUUUACACAUGCAAGUCGAACGGCAGCGCGGGGCAACCUGGCGGCGAGUGGCGAACGGGUGUGUAAUACAUCGGAACGUACCCAGAAGUGGGGGAUAACGUAGCGAAAGUUACGCUAAUACCGCAUACGUUCUACGGAAGAAAGUGGGGGACCUUCGGGCCUCAUGCUUUUGGAGCGGCCGAUGUCUGAUUAGCUAGUUGGUGAGGUAAAGGCUCACCAAGGCGACGAUCAGUAGCUGGUCUGAGAGGACGACCAGCCACACUGGGACUGAGACACGGCCCAGACUCCUACGGGAGGCAGCAGUGGGGAAUUUUGGACAAUGGGCGCAAGCCUGAUCCAGCAAUGCCGCGUGAGUGAAGAAGGCCUUCGGGUUGUAAAGCUCUUUUGUCAGGGAAGAAACGGCUGGGGCUAAUAUCCUCGGCUAAUGACGGUACCUGAAGAAUAAGCACCGGCUAACUACGUGCCAGCCGCCGCCGUAAGAC